UCACUUAAUUCACCACACCUGUUAAUUCCCACAGAGCCACUGACCAGAGAUUUUACAAAAGGAAAGAGAUUUUAUUCACAGUUCGUCCCUUUUAUUCAUUACAGAGGAAAGGUGAGGAAGAUUCCAGUUACUGAAGUCGAGACAGCUUAUGGACAAAAAGAGGAUUUUACGAAUCGUGGAAGGAGCGGAGGGAAAGACAUCGAAGAUUUGAAUGUUUUCUUUCGAUCCUUUCUCUCCUCUCCUCCUUUCAUUUCUUUCACCUUUUUAGAGGACAAAAGUUGUCAUCACUUUCAGGAGGCGACUUUUGUCCUCUCUUAACCUGCAAACGCUCUCCCUCCCCCCACCUCCAGCACCCAGGAGGACAUCUUCAGAAUUUGGAAUGAGGUCCCCAGACUUUUGUAAACCUCCUCUCUCCUCAGAUACCGAGGGGAGCAGAGAGACAUUUCAUUCUCACAGACACCUCAGGAUGAAGUGACAGGGCAGGCAGACAUGAAGAGGUGGGAAGACAGAAGAAUGGUUGCAAGGAAAGAAAAAGGUUUGUGAGAGAAGCUUGUUGAUGGAAAUGAUGUUACAGGAUAAUUUUAUUGAAAAUCACCCUUAUUCCCCAUAAGCAAACAUAGACACAUCAUGGGCAUCGAACCUCUCACGUGGGACAAGUCUUUGGUGUGAGCGGCCGAGCACACGAGGUUACACAAAGGGUGAGUGGGAAGAGUAGGAAAGAAAGGACAGGGAAGGCAGAAUAGCAGAGGGAUUGCUGUAUUUUUUUGCGUCUUCUAGUCUCUCUUUACUCCUCCUUCUCCUCUCCGUGUGUGAUGACGUAGCAGAUGUUCUUGUAGUCUACGUUGCCGGCGACAUCUGGGGGGAAGGCGGCCCACAUGUUCUUAAUCUGAGGAGGACACAAGGAUGGGACGUCAGUCUGACAGAUGACACAGAUGUCUACAGCAUCCUGAGGCAGCCAGGAUGAAUAAAGGGGGGCCUGUUUGGUCGGACAAACCUCACCUCUUUGUACUCCUGAAUCUGGCUCUGCUCAAACAUGGAGAACACGUUGGAGGAGCCGCCAUCGGCUGCUGCUGCCCUCCUCUUUGCCUUCUUUGGUGCCUGGAGGAUGAACACACGAGUGAAAGCUUCAGGUCGAUGAGGUCUCCCCCGCUGUGCUUCUCCUCCUCCUGUGCUCGUCGACUCCUCAGCCAUUCCUCUCUGGCUCUCUUCACUUCCUGUCCGUAAUAAUCAUGAAGUUUGCUGAAAUCCUCCAGAGGAUCGAAGCCCACCAGAGGCCAUUCUCCGUACAGAGGUGCAGGUCCAUUGAGCGGUGUGACGUGAGCGUUCCUCCUGUGCCAGAGUUUGGGGGACUUUUUGGUGACCACUUUAGAAGGUCCUGAAGUCGUGUUGAAGCUUCUCCCCUCGCCGAGCGCUGCUGAUGAUCCCUGCACGGGGACGAAGAACUGGGACUGUUUGAGGGCGCUGAGGGAGGAUCUGUGAUGGGGUUCACCUGAGUCUUGUUGCUGUUUAGCUUCUGCAAGAGUACAACAAGAAGACAUCAAAACUAGAGCUUCUCAUAUAAAUCAUCAUGUAGCUCCUUUUUGAAAAAGACUAGCUGGAAAAACUGAAUCAAAUUUGACAACUGUAAGGUAAAAGCUCUGCAGGGUUAUACAGAAAUAAUGAUUGAUGCUUCUUCCAAGAAGAGUAAAGCACUGCAGUCCAAAACCUUUAGUAUGUAUUAACAGGAGCAUGCCUCACCUUCAUACUGCCUCUGCAGGUCUCUCAUCAGCAAAGAGAGGUAGCAGUGAUUGGCUGACAGUAAAGCUUUAAGCCAGCUCUCCAGAGCGGGAUGAUCCCCUGCAGAAAAUCUGUAGGUCCUCAAACCGGGUCCUUCAAACACCAGUGAGAAGGCAAACUGUCCAUCAGACUCCGAGCGCCUCACUGAGCACCCCUCCAGAACAAUGACGCCCAGUAGGUGUCUGUCAGCCGGGCGCUCCUGGUAGAAAAGCAGGUUUGCUUUCAGGACAAACCAGCGCCGAUGGUACGUUGCAGUUCUCUCUUUCUACAGAGGAAUAUGACAAAAACAAAGCAGGGUCAUGAAGCACAAUGAAAUCACUUGUACAUGUUACUCAGUGUUGCAUUUAUUUUCUUUAUCCAAACCUUUUUAUAGAGAUAACCUUCUUUAUCUACUGGAGACGUGCAUGAGAGGUAAUGCAUCAGAAUCUUCUCAUGGAGCUUCAUCCCAACACCUGAAGAAGAGAAGUGCUUUAACAUAGUGAAACUACAACAGGAAAAAGGAACUGCAUGACGUGUUGUAGAUCCUUUUAAAAGAAAAGAGUCAUCACCUUUCUAUUUAGAAAUGAUGAGCUUUUAAAAUGAUCAAAACAGCUGUUUGGGUCUUCGUCAAAAUUUGAUUUUAAGUUUGAACCUCUUGUCACAUUCUAAAAGUACAAUAUGGAAUAAACAAGCAAUAUAUAGCAAUCAGAUUCUGGAUUAAAACUCUCCCUUGUACACCCUUCCAGUUGUUAAAGUAAUGGUGGCAUUCAAGGACCAGAAGCUCCCUUGCGAUGCAUGAGAAGUAUGAUCCUCCAUCAGUCAUUUGUUAACAUCAAUCAAUACAAAUUCUUUGUGCAAACCA